UAUGUGAUCGUCUCUCGCAUAUCAAUAAGCGGAGGAAAAGAAACUAACAAGGAUUCCCCUAGUAACGGCGAGUGAAGCGGGAAGAGCUCAAAUUUGAAAUCUUAAAGGGUUUCCCUUUACGAAUUGUAGUUUAAAGAAGUGUUUUCUGUUGAGGUUUUGGUAAAAGUUCUUUGGAAUAGGACAUCAUAGAGGGUGAGAAUCCCGUAUUUGACCUUUACUUUCAACUUUGUGAUACGCUUUCAAAGAGUCGGAUUGUUUGGGAAUGCAGUCCAAAAUGGGUGGUAAAUUUCAUCUAAAGCUAAAUAUUGGCGAGAGACCGAUAGCGAACAAGUACCGUGAGGGAAAGAUGAAAAGAACUUUGAAAAGAGAGUUAAACAGUACGUGAAAUUGUCAAAAGGGAAGCGUUUGACACCAGUGUUGUUUUUCUGAAAAUCAAUUAAAGAACUGUUUAUGCUAAGCUGUUUAGACUUUAUCAGCUAUCUGUUUAGUUUUGAGCUUUUCUUUAAUGCACUUUUCAGUUAACAAGUCAACAUCAAUUUCUUUUGCUGUAAAAAAGCUUGAGGAAGGUGGCUUGAGAUUCGUCUUAAGUGUUUAUAGCCUCUUGCCUAUGCAGUCGGAGAGAUUGAGGUCUGCAGCGUAGAUCCUUCGGGGCUAAAUGCAUUUGUGCUAAGUUAUAGCAUUUUAUAGACAACUUGUUGACUAUGAUUUGUCUUGUAGCUUACUCGCUUAUGUUAUUUUACCUACGCUUAGGAUGUUGAUCUACAGAGCGAGAGU
rnacentral:rRNA from 1 species